rnacentral:misc_RNA from 1 species
GAUGAAGAACGUAGCGAAAUGCGAUAAGUAAUGUGAAUUGCAGAAUUCAGUGAAUCAUCGAAUCUUUGAACGCACAUUGCGCCCGCCAGUAUUCUGGCGGGCAUGCCUGUUCGAGCGUCAUUUCAACCAUCAAGCCCCAGGCUUGUGUUGGGGACCUGCGGCUGCCGCAGGCCCUGAAAACCAGUGGCGGGCUCGCUGUCACACCGGGCGUAGUAGAUUUUAUCUCGCUCAGGGCGUGCUGCGGGUUCCGGCCGUUAAAAAGCCUUUUUUACCCAAGGUUGACCUCGGAUCAGGUAGGAAUACCCGCUGAACUUAAGCAUAUCAAUAAGCGGAGA